rnacentral:rRNA from 1 species
CCUACGGGAGGCAGCAGUGAGGAAUAUUGGUCAAUGGGCGCGAGCCUGAACCAGCCAAGUAGCGUGAAGGAUGACUGCCCUACGGGUUGUAAACCUCUUUUAUAAAGGAACAAAGUGAGCCACGUGUGCCUUUUUGUAUGUACCCUAUGAAAAAGGCUCGGCUAACUCCGUGCCAGCAGCCGCGGUAAUACGGGGGAUGCGAGCUUUAUCCGGAUUUAUUGGGUUUAAAGGGUGCGUAGUGGGGAUGUAAAGGCAGGGGUAAAAUUUUGGGGCUCAACCUUGCCUUGCCGUUGAAACUGGCAGUCUUGAGUGCGCGAGAAGUAUGCGGAAUGCGUGGUGUAGCGGUGAAAUGCAUAGAUAUCACGAAGAACUCCGAUUGCGAAGGCAGCAUACUGGCCUGCAACUGACGUUGAUGCACGAAAGUGUGGGUAUCGAACAGGAUUAGAUACCCGAGUAGUC